AUACGUAGGUGACAAGCGUUAUCCGGAUUUACUGGGUGUAAAGGGCGUGUAGGCGGUUUGGCAAGUCAGAAGUGAAAUUCCCGGGCUUAACUUGGGCGCUGCUUCUGAAACUGCUUAACUUGAGUGCUGGAGAGGAUAGUGGAAUUCCUAGUGUAGCGGUAAAAUGCGCAGAUAUUAGGAGGAACACCGGUGGCGAAAGCGGCUAUCUGGACAGUAACUGACGCUGAGGCGCGAAAGCACGGGGAGCAAACAGGAUUAGAUACCCUGGUAGUCCGUGCCGUAAACGAUGAAUACUAGGUGUAGGGGGUAUCGACUCCCUCUGUGCCGCAGUUAACACAUUAAGUAUUCCACCUGGGGAGUACGGCCGCAAGGUUGAAACUCAAAUGAAUUGACGGGG
rnacentral:rRNA from 1 species